rnacentral:misc_RNA from 1 species
GUGAGGAGGCGGACACUCGCCGGCGGCCGCGGACUGUCUCGUGCAUGUGACGACCCCAUCGGCCUGUCCCUGGCACCGUGACCGGUUACAGCUGACUGCAGUCUAGGACACACCGGCGGCACUGGCAGUGACACCGUCACGCCAUGGCGCGUCUGGCGGCGCUCUCCGGGGCGCUCCUGGCCAUCACGCUGCUCGCCGUUUUGGUGGCAUCUGUCGACAUCGGUGACACUUCUGAUGUCACGAAGAACGUUCAAACCGUUUUGGAGGAGCACCACUCCUUGGACACUUCCAAAGGCCAAAACCUGAACAGUUUCGGCUGGGCGCCCGUCUCCCGGCUGCGUCGAGCGGCGACUGAUGACUCCUCUCUCAGUCGCCGGGAGAGGCGCCGACGCCAGAAGGAAGCCAAGGAGCUGGAGCGGCGCAGACGCAAGGAGGCCAAGGAGCGCGAGCGUCUCAGGAGACAGCAGGAGCGCCAGGAGAGGAAGGAGAGACUCCGGGAGGAGAAGCGACUAAAGAAGCAGCGAGAGCGAGAGGAGAAACGGCGGCUCCGUAAACUGCAAAAGGCACUCGAGAGGAAAAAGAAGAGAAAAGACAAAAAACGGACAUCUAAGAACAAAAAUGCCUCUCCGGUCGUCAUCGACAUCCACCGCUCUCCGGGAGCUUACAACCACACUUCGGCUGAUCCCGGCACGGCUUCCACACAGCACCUCCAGACCUCCACUACCCCCGCCGCCACCACCACGCCCAGUCCGACGAGUCAGGACCUGACGCCCACACAGGCGGCCUACACGGAGGCCUGGGUGACGGCUCCUACCUGGCUGGUGGGCUCCACACUAGCUGACCCGCGACUGGAGGCCUCGUCGGCCGAUACAACCGGCAGAAAACGCAAUGUCGAUGAUUAUACUGACGAAGAGGGUGAGGAAGAGGACUAUUAUGAUGAAGAAGAUGAGGAGGAGGGACAAGAAGAGGAUGAGGAGGAAGACGAUUAUGAUGAAGGCUCUGAUCCCGCUGAGGGUGCUGAUGCUGGAAAAGAAGUCGAAGCUGAUACUGCUCAGAGAGCAGAGGCAUCACAAUCGAAUAGUGAAAAUUCCUCGAACGGUAAUACAGAACGUACGCAAGACAGUGACUCGGAUGGCUCUGCGAAUAAUAAAGGAAAUGAAGAUGAGGACACAAACGAGCUCCCGGAGAGCGGAGACGAAUAUUACGAUGGUGACGAUUACUAUGAUGACGGUGACUAUUACUAUUACGAUUACGAGGAAGGGGAAGAACCAAACGGACAAUCUUCGCGUGACGAGGACCAGGAUAGUGAAGAUGUCCCGGUCCCAACCACACCAGCCACCACAGCACCUACUACCACCACUACCACAACAACCACAACCACAACUACAACACCUCCAACUACCACUACAACUACUGUGGCAACAACGACGACCACCACUAGAGCGCCUACCACAGCAGCCGCUCCCACGGCAAGCGGUCAGAGAGAACCAUCCGUUGACCGUCGGCCAGCCGACUACAACGACCUCUAUGACGACGACUACCUCGACGGAGCUGGGGAGGGUGCACCGGCGGAUAACGGGCGCACCUCACCACCUCAACCUACCGAACAGAAGGAGACAACUGCUAGCACCAGCGACGAUGAUUACUACGACUAUGGCACUGACGACUAUGACUACGAGUACUACGACCAAGCCAACGAGAUAGACGCAGCGGUCGAAACAAGGAGGCGUCCUCCGCCGCCACCGCCUGCGACCACCCGCGCGCCGCCGCCGCCGCCUCCGCCCCCUCCAGUGGUGACCGACCCCUCAGGGGGUCAGGAUGAGGACCAAGAGCUGGCCGAGCUCGCCGCUGACAGAGUAGCUGCUGAGAAAGCCGAGAGUGCCUUCGUGGAGAAGCUACCUGAUCGGCUGAAUCGUACCGCGCUCGACCUCUCCUGUCUGAAGCUGUUUGGACAGGGGGAUCUGCCACGAGUAGUGCCACCGGCCGUGGCGCACGGCGGCGUGGUCUCCUAUAACAGGGUGACCAACCCGGAGACUCCCAACAACGUGUACCUGGAGGCGCGCUUCAUCUGCGAGGGAGGCUACGAGAUGGCCGACGAUCGCUUCAGCACCGUCUACUGCUCCGAGAGGAAGUGGCACGGAGUCCUGCCCAGAUGCGAGCCAGUCGAGGUGCCAUCGGAGCCUGUCUGUGGCGGCGACAACGGCGGCUGUGAGCAGGUGUGCCAGGUCACCGGAGGUCAGGUCAGCUGCGCCUGUCACAGGGGAUACCAGCUGGCCGACGACGGCGUCUCGUGCGAGGAUGAAGACGAGUGUGCCGGCUCCGAGGCCGUGUGUGACGGCGUCUGUUUCAACAAGCGCGGCUCUUACCAGUGCUACUGCCCUCGCGGAUACAGGCUGGCUUCCACCGGCGACCAGUGCAUCGACAAGAACGAGUGCCUUCUGCGGAACGGUCACGGCCCGUGUCAAGACCAGUGUAUCAACACAGAGGGCGGCUAUAAGUGCUCCUGUGACGGCGUUCCAGGCACUCGUCUCUCCUCUGACGGCCACACUUGCGAGGACCUGGACGAGUGUAAGGUCAACAAUGGCGGCUGCUCGCACGGCUGUCUCAGCACGCUGGGCUACGUGUUCUGCACCUGUCCGGCCGGCUACCUGCUCGGAGACGACUGGAAAAACUGCAACGAUGUGGACGAGUGCGAGGACCCGUCCGUGGCCAGCCAGUGUGCGCACGGCUGUAUCAACACCCCGGGCAGCUACCACUGCGGCGAGAGGAGGGCGCCUGACUGCCCGCACGGCUUCACCAGGGAGCCGGACGGCAGCUGUCUCGACAUCGACGAGUGCGAGGACGGCUUUGGCUGCUCUCACGAUUGUGAAAACCUGGAAGGCUCGGCCCGCUGUAUCUGUCCGUAUGGCUUUAGCCUCGGACCCGACGGGAAAAACUGCGAAGAUAUAAACGAGUGUGAGUCUGGCUUUGGCUGCUCUCACGAUUGUGAGAACCUGGAAGGCUCUGCUUUAUGCAUAUGUCCGUUGGGCUUCAGGCUUCGGCCCGAUGGCAAAAUAUGUGAAGACAUCAACGAGUGCACGAACAACAACGGCGGCUGUUCAUCUCUAUGUCUGAACGAGCCUGGCUCGUUCUCCUGCUCGUGCCCACCUUCUGAAUCUCUGGCCGACGACGGACGCACCUGCCGAGCUGACGACCCGUGCCUGGAAAACAACGGAGGUUGUCAACACACCUGCUCCCCGCGUCCUGACGGCCGUGGCGCACAGUGCAGCUGCCAGUCCGGGUACCGACUUAACGACGACGGCUUCACCUGUGGAGAUGUGAAUGAAUGCGCUGAGGAUGUCCAUAAAUGCGAUCAUCAAUGUGAGAACACCCCCGGCGGGCACCAAUGUGUCUGUUUUGACGGGUAUCGUCUGGCGGACAACGGCCAUACCUGCGAGGAUCUGAACGAGUGUAGCGUAGCCAACGGAGGCUGCAGCGACAUCUGCUCCAACGUUCCAGGAGGAUCUGUGUGUGCGUGUCGGCCGGGUCGGGCCCUAACCGACCCCGACGGUCGACUGUGUGCUGAUCUGGAUGAGUGCCUGACGGAUAACGGCGGCUGCUCGCACAUCUGCCGUAACACGGACGGCUCGUUCCAGUGCGAGUGUCCGAGUGGUAUGAGGCUAGACGAUGAUGGCCUCACCUGUCUAGACGUCGAUGAGUGCGCCGAACGGCUCGAUCACUGCUCUGACGAGUGUCGAAACACAGAAGGCAGCUACCAAUGUCUCUGUCCCGAAGGAUACCGGCUAGACGACGAAGACACCUGUCGUGAUAUAGACGAAUGCGCCGAGGGUGGUGGUUGCUCUCACCUGUGUGUGAACACAGAGGGUUCGUUCCAGUGUGGCUGUCCGCCGGGACACAGUCUUGCUGCCGACCAGCGAACCUGCAGAGAUCUGGAUGAAUGCCAGGCGGAACACGGGUGCUCUCACCGCUGCGUCAAUACUCAAGGCAGCUACAGAUGCUCGUGCCCUGCCGGUUUUGUGCUAGACGAGGACGAAGCCACAUGUGUGGAUCAGGAUGAGUGCUCGGAUGGUGGCUCAGGCUGCUCUCAUCUUUGCAAGAACCUCCCAGGCUCCUUCGCCUGCGACUGUCCCGAAGGCAUGCAGCUUCAAGAAGACUCCAAAACCUGUGUGGACGUCGAUGAGUGUGCAGUUGAUAAUGGCGGCUGCAGUCACAUCUGUAUCAACCUGGAAGGAUCGUCGGCAUGUUCUUGUCCACCGGGAUACGAGCUGGCAGAGCCAGACAUGAAGCACUGCAUGGACCGAGACGAGUGUGCGUACGCUGACGUGUGCCAGCACACAUGCACAAACACAGAUGGCAGCUACGUGUGCUCGUGUGAUCCUGGAUACCGCCUAUCAUCUGAUGGCAGCUCUUGUGACGACAUUGAUGAGUGCAGUGAAGGACUGGCCGGCUGUUCAGAGCUGUGUGAGAACACUGACGGCGGAUUCCGCUGCCUCUGUCCCGACGGGUUCGUACUGGAGCACGAUAACCGCACCUGUUCUGACCUGGACGAAUGUCUGGACGGCCGGGCCGGCUGUGAGCACGUCUGUGAGAACGUCGCCGGUGGGGCGAUCUGCAGCUGCCGGGCCGGGUUCCGACUGGGAGAGGACGGCCGAGCCUGUCUGGACAUCGACGAAUGUGCUGACGGUGAGCGAGGAGGUUGCGAUCACAUCUGUGAGAACACAGACGGUAGCCACUUCUGCCGUUGCCGCGAUGGCUUCCAACUAGCCGAAGACGGUGUCAGCUGUCUCGAUGUGGAUGAAUGCGCAACUGGCAAUGGCGGCUGCUCUGAAGAGUGCGUCAACGAACCGGGCGGUCACCGAUGCCUGUGCCGGCCAGGAUUCCGGCUGAAGUCCGACAACCGCACUUGCGCAGAUCGUGAUGAAUGCUUCCAAGACGCUUACGGCUGCUCACACAUCUGCAUCAACCUAGAAGGAGGUGUAUUGUGUUCGUGUCCCCCUGGAAUGGAACUGGCGGCCGACAACCGCACAUGCCAGGAUCUGGAUGAAUGUGCUGACCGAAACGGCGGCUGUGAGCAGCUCUGUGUCAACAUGGAGGGCAGCUUCCGUUGUACUUGCCGCACCGGGUUCCUUCUAGAUCAGGAUGGUCGCUCCUGUGACGACGUAAACGAAUGCGAUGCCAACAAUGGUGGAUGCGAGCAUGAUUGCGUCAACCUGGAGGGAAGUAGGAGUUGUGUGUGCCGACGAGGCUUCCAGCUAGCUGAAGACGGCAGUAGCUGCAUUGACGAAGACGAGUGUGCGGCUCGAAACGGUGGUUGCUCACACGACUGUGAAAACGAGCCGGGAAGUCACCGUUGUUCUUGUCCGGACGGGAUGCGACUGGCUGUGGACAUGAAAACCUGCCAGGACAUCGACGAGUGUGCCGACAACAACGGUCGCUGCUCGCAUAUCUGCCGUAACACAGCCAGUAGCUACGUGUGCAAGUGUCCUACCGGCUACAGACUUCAGGGCGAUGGACUUACCUGCGAAGAUCUGGACGAAUGCGCGGAGAACAUUCAUGGAUGCUCGCAUCAAUGCCUCAACACCGCCGGUGCUUUCGAGUGUCAGUGUCCCACUGGACUGGAGCUGGGCAAGGACAACCGGACCUGCACCGACUUUGACCAGUGUCUGGAUAUGAACGGUGGCUGCUCUCACAUCUGUACCGACCUGCACGGUGGCUUGGUGUGCCGCUGUCCGGACGGCUGGGUGCUCGGUCGAGACCGACGCACCUGCCAAGACGUCGACGAAUGUCGAGCACAGAACGGCGGCUGCGCUGAACUCUGUAUCAACACGGAGGGCGGUCACCACUGCGGGUGUCCUCCGGGUCAGCUUCUGCAGCCAGAUAACACCACUUGUCGUGCUGCCGCGCCUUGCGCCGACGACAACGGUGGCUGUGAACAGUUAUGUACCGAAAACGCUGGCCUGGCCGUCUGCAGUUGUCAGUCAGGCUACGAGCUACAGCCGGACAAGCGUUCGUGCAGAGACGUCGACGAAUGUGCGCGUCGCCGCGGUGGCUGCCAUCACCUCUGCCGAAACAAACCUGGGUCGUUUGAGUGCACCUGUCGACCGGGAUACACGCUGCAAGAGGAUGGUGUCACGUGCGGCGCCAUCGACUACUGCGCUGAGAGCAACGGCAACUGCUCCCACAUCUGCCUGAGUAUGAUGGACCGUGCCCACUGUUUGUGCCCGCCGGGUCUGCUACUCGGCCGGGACCGACUGACCUGUCAGGAUGUAGACGAAUGUCGUGAAGCACCCGGUCUGAUGUGUGCUCAGCUAUGCGUCAACCUCCACGGCUCGUUCCGAUGCGGCUGUCACGAUGGCUUUCAACUAGCCGCAGACAACAAGUCCUGUACGGACAUCAACGAGUGCCUCCAGGAUAACGGAGGCUGCAGCCACGUCUGUAUCAACCUGGCCGGCGGUCGCAGCUGCGUCUGUCGACCGGGCUACCGUCUCCUCUCCGACGGACGCACCUGCCACGCGCUGGACGCUUGUGCUGUCGAUAACGGCGGCUGCUCGGAUGUCUGUACCUCACAGGAAGGCCGCGCAGUGUGCUCCUGUAAGGCUGGCUUCCAGCUGGGGCGCGAUCAACAAACCUGCGUGGAUGUCGACGAGUGUCUGGAAAAGAACGGCGGUUGUGAGCAGAUGUGUGACAACACUGCCGGCGGCCGCCUCUGCCGCUGCCGUGCCGGUUUCAGGCUGGACGAAGACGGAGUCAGCUGCCGCGAUGUGGACGAGUGUGCCAACAAUAACGGCGGCUGCCAGCACGAGUGUGUCAACGAGCCAGGGACGUUCCGCUGCCGCUGUCGUCCCGGCUACCGAACGCACUGGAGGGAUCAGUCUCAGUGUCGAGACGUCAACGAGUGCGCCUACGAGAACGGUGGCUGCGCCGAGGACUGCUACAACACCGAGGGCAGCUACAAGUGUGUCUGCAGCGACCUCUACCGGCUGGCUGAGGACGGACGGUCGUGCAUACCGGCCGAUGACGGCUGGUGCCGGCCGCCCACGGCUCCGGCCCACAGUGACUUCAUCUGCGACUCGCCGCUGGAGAGCGGGGUUCGAUUCCCGGUGGGUACGCAGUGUCGGGUUCGCUGCCGGCGCGGUCGACACCUGGACGGAGACGGAGUGGUUACCUGCGACCGGGACGGACGGUGGCGCGGAGCAGCGGCCAAGUGCCGGCGACACCAGCCAGCUGGGACGCCGGACCGGACCGAUCGCCGCCGGCCCAGCACAGCGCUGGCUCCGUCGCCGUCUCCACCUCUUCCUCGCGGAGGGAUGUGCUCGGCCAUCGCCCCUCCUCCGCACGCCACGCUGCGGCCGCGCCGCUGUCUGAGGGCCGACACCCGGCCCGGCCGGCGCUGCUACAUCGUCUGCCAGCCGGGGUUCCGUGUGCGCGGCCGGCGCCGCCUCACCUGCCAGCCGGAUCUCAGCUGGACGUUCGAGGGACGCCACGAGCCGCGCUGUGUGCCGCGGACCGGCGCUCAGAGGCGGAGGAACGGACGCAGACGGGGAGGCUCGCUGUCUCGGAACCGGUCACGUAACACCGAGUCGUCGCCACGUCGACCGUCACCGGCGGCAGAAGACGGAACCAGACGAGUGGGGACGACUGUGGCUCCACGGCGCGACACCGCUACCAAAAGCAGCACCAGCUCCAGCAGUAGCAGCAGUGCGAACACCAUUAACAGUAUCAUCAACAGAGGCAGCAGCAGCACCACUAGCAGUAGCAGUAGCAGCAGAGACAGAAGCAGAGGAAGAGAUCGCAGCAGCAGCGGCAGAGGCCGUGGUAGCGGCAGCAGCAGCAGCAAUAACAACAAAGACAGCGAUCGCAGUAGCCGCAGAGGAAACAGCGAUCGCAGCUCCGGCAGCAGCAGAGGUGAUAUCGAUCGCAGUAGAAACAGCAACAGAGGCACCGAUCGCAGCAAUGGUAGGGACAGCAGCAGAGACAGUCGGCGUAGACCGGCCGCCGAGUCGGUAACUAGCCCGACCAGUGGCCGCAGAAGGCCCUCUGCCACCUCCAGUCGUCCGCCGUCCACCGGCGACCCCAUCAUCACCUGUCCGGACGACCAGCGCGUCGAACUGAAACCCGGGAGAAACUCCAGUCUGGUGCGCUUCCCUCGUCCCCGUAACAGUCUCCACACACGACUCUACGUGGAUGGAGAGCCGGUGAGGGGCCAGGGACGGCGACUGCAGGCGCAGUUGCCGGCCGGACAGCAUCGGAUCACCUUUGUCACACACUCAGCGGUCACCAGCGCACCGGCCAAGUGCUCCUUCAACGUCCAGAUCGUCGACACGGAGCGUCCCCGUGUCCACGGCUGUCCCCGCUCGCUGAACGUGAUGCUGGAGGAGGGAGAGCUGGACGCCCUAGUCACCUGGGAGGAGCCCGUCUUCACCGAUAAUGUCGGAGUGGUCAACACCUGGCAGUCACUGCGGCCCAACGCCCGCCUGCCAGCCGGCAAACACCGCGCCUUCUACAUAGCGCUGGACAAGGCGCGAAACAGAGCCAACUGCUCCUUCACGAUUAACGUGACCCCGGUCCAACGGCGCUCUCGCUGGCUGCGGUUCAUCCCACGCUUUGAUUAGACUGGCUUGUUUGUGUUGUUAUCCGACGGCGCGCCUGUCGGACCACGCUGGAAGCGAUUGUGGCCCUCUGCUGCCCGUGCUGCCCCCCCCCCCCCGAGUCCUGCCCUCCGCGAGUCCCCUGAGGCCUUUGGGACAAUCCAGAGGUGGUCGGCGACCCCUGUGUUGGGGCUUCGGUGUUGUUGCGUGUUGCUUUGUUGUGUGUCAGCUGGCUGCAUUUAUGUGUUUGUUGGUGUAUUUGCGUGAAACAUGGAAACACUCAGCUGUAAAUGGUCUUUUUAUGCAAUUUAUGGGCGCAUUUUGUAAAUAGCCUGCAGGGACUUCUGGCAUAUUUUAAGUCAUAAUAUGCGUAAUAACGUAAAUAUAUACGUAAAAAUGUAACACAGAGUUCAGAGUUGUGAUAUGCGCUCUAGCCGAUGCAUGCCGAUAUCGCAAUGGCAUAGUUUUCAUUGAUACAAUAUUGUUCAGAAAGAGAGCUUUACAUGGCUUUCCGUGCUUGUAGAGCUGCACACAAUCAGCAUAUCAAAUCUAACCUAAAAGGCGAGCACAGGUGAUAGCGUUAGGGUAAUGGGCUCGAAAUCGAGCGCUCCAUUAGAAGACAUUAGAAGCCAGGAUUGUCGCCCUGGCUUCCAAGACGCCAGUCGGUGCUUUUGCCUUCGCUCUGGCAUUGCCGAACACAGGGUAUCUUCAAACUGGAUACAUAGUACGGUGCUGAGUUUUUCCCUGUUUCUUUCAUGAACCCUACCGUGGCUUUUAUUCUGUGUUACCCCUGCCUGCUGCCGUCCCAGUGCACCUGAGUGACCCUAAAUAUUGAAUCCCUUUCGCCAAUAGCCGAGCCUUGCUCUGAUCCACCCGACAGCUAAUGGCCAUCAUUCCUCUUCUUUGACUGCUCCACAAUCCUAGAACCUUACACGUACUCCCUUCCCUAGAACCUAGCACACUCUGCCCCUGGACUUGACACCUCCGGGGCCUGACACCCUCUGCUCUGGAACCUCACACCUCCACUCCGGAGCCCCUCUCUGCGUGUUUCCCUGCCCGUGCCUCCCUCCCCGCCUGUCUCGCCGCUUCGGCCGGUGUCUGUGGGUGGGUGCCACUCUGCCUGCUUCUCUCUGUCUCCGCGGCUGGCUGUGGCUGUGGCUGUGGCUGAGCCGGUUUGGCUGCUGCUCUCUGCAUGGCUCGGCGCAGGCGGCGACUGCUCGCCGCCGCCGCUGACCGGUGGCGACGUCAUCUGUAUGGCGUGGCUGGGCGGCCGCCUCUGCCAGCCGGCCUGCCGCACCGGGCGGCGCUUCUUUACACCGCCCGCCUCCGCCAUUUUCAUGUGCGGCUUCGGACGCGCCUGGUCGCCCAGAGACGAGUUCCCCGUCUGUGCACCUCAUGUUACCACAAAGACAGCUAGUUGUCUGCCCGGCUUCGAAAUACGGCAAGGCUUUACAGAUGUAUGCGUGGGAUGUCCCCCCGGGAUGUACGGUGAAGGAGGCAGUCAGUCCUGCGUACACUGUCCAAUCGCAACAUACCAGGAGGAAUUUGCUCAGGCAGCGUGCAAGCCGUGUCCACCGGGUCAGACCACGCUGGAGGGCGGCGCCGACUCGACGCUCCUCUGUCGCUCGGACGUCCCUCCCUUUGUACAAGGAGGCCUACUACCGGGAUAAGGUGCUGGCCACGCUGCGGCGGGUCAACCGGCUGCCUCGGUCAGGCCGGAAAGCUUACCCAGCUCCCUGAGCUAGUGCUCGACGCUGGGCAGUCAGGCUAUACACUCCUGAGAGGCCCCUAGUGGAGAUUCCGGCGACCGGGAGAUUCCGUGCAGGCGGCGCUGGAUUGGAGCGAGCAGUGUACGAUGGACUGAUGCCAGUGUAGAGGCAGCUCUAUGUGCCUUCAGUGUAACGAGCCGAUGUCGCUCACGUCGCGAUACUCACUGCCAGAACGCAUUCAACUCACAGUGUUACUGAGUGCACUCCACCCGCCCUCCCAUGUAGACUGGGUGGACUGGAAGUGGAUACUGUGCACUGUGAAGCGUCGUCGACCCGCAGGUCACUGGGUCACUCCCUUGCACCUGUCGGUCUGUGGUCUUCCCGGGCCCUUUUUUGGCCCAGUGAGGUCAGUGCUGCGCGACUCGCAAAGAUAAACGAUGUUACACUUUUUCACCGUCAAUAUUUGCAUGUGAGAAUGACGGUGCGCGUUAGUAUUGACAAGUCGUGGUGUCUGCGAGCUUGUCUCGUGGGUAGGAGGCGAUGUCUGCGAGCUUGUCUCGUGGGUAGGAGCUAUUCUCGCGAGCUUGUCUCGUGGGUAGGAGCGAUGUCCGCGAGCUUGUCUCGUGGGUAGGAAGCGACUCCUGCGAGUAUGUCUCGUGGGUACGGCACGAUAUUGUCGCACUGGCCAUUCGCUCGUAACUCAACGAGACUGGCGCGAAUCCCAGUGGCCGAUGAAUAGCCACAAGCCACGAGAGGUCGGCAGGGUCUUAGAAGUCGAUUGGACAGAUAGUGACCCUCAGAGGCCGCGCGAGACUGAUACAGGCCCUCGAAAUACUUGUAGCCUGCAUAAGUGUCAUUGUUGCAACAGGCCCUUGAGCGUCGCGUAGCAGUGCUAAGUGUCGAUUAUUGUGCUUUUACGUGUUCGCAAUGUCAAUAACAUGUUCGUCCAAUUUGGGCAGCUUUUAGGCGAUAUUAACUUUGAUAUUUUCUGUAACGGGCAAUGUAAAGAUUUUUAAUACGUCAUUCUUCUAAUUGCCCUGAUAUUUGUGUGAUGACUGGUGACAGUCUACAUGUAUAAUAUAUAUGUUCACUUAUUAUCGUCUUACUAUGUGGCAUUUGCAGAAAUACAUCAAAAGGACUUUUUAAACAUUA